UGCAUCGGCUGGGAAUCGAACCCGGGGCGCAUGCAUGGCAGGCGAGCAUUCUACCACUGAACCACCGAUGC
rnacentral:tRNA from 1 species